CCUACGGACGGCAGCAGUGGGGAAUAUUGGACAAUGGGCGAAAGCCUGAUCCAGCCAUGCCGCGUGUGUGAAGAAGGCCUUCGGGUUGUAAAGCACUUUCAGUGGGGAAGAAAGCCUUGGGGCUAAUACCCUCGAGGAAGGACAUCACCCACAGAAGAAGCACCGGCUAACUCCGUGCCAGCAGCCGCGGUAAUACGGAGGGUGCGAGCGUUAAUCGGAAUUACUGGGCGUAAAGCGCGCGUAGGCGGUCUGAUAAGCCGGUUGUGAAAGCCCCGGGCUCAACCUGGGAACGGCAUCCGGAACUGUCAGGCUAGAGUGCAGGAGAGGAAGGUAGAAUUCCCGGUGUAGCGGUGAAAUGCGUAGAGAUCGGGAGGAAUACCAGUGGCGAAGGCGGCCUUCUGGACUGACACUGACGCUGAGGUGCGAAAGCGUGGGUAGCAAACAGGAUUAGAUACCCUAGUAGUC
rnacentral:rRNA from 1 species